UCACAGUCACAACAGUGAAAACUUAUACAGAAAUGAAUCGUGGAGACUUCCUUACUUUGGUUGCUUCUUCAGAGGCUAGCAGCGAACACCCAUUGGCAAGAGCAUUGGUGAAUUAUGCCCACCAUUUCCAUUUCCUCAAUGAGCCAUCUGCUGCUAAGGAUUUCCAUAAUGAAC